UGGGGAAUUUUGGACAAUGGGCGAAAGCCUGAUCCAGCAAUGCCGCGUGUGUGAAGAAGGCCUUCGGGUUGUAAAGCACUUUUGUCCGGAAAGAAAUCCUUGGCUCUAAUACAGUCGGGGGAUGACGGUACCGGAAGAAUAAGCACCGGCUAACUACGUGCCAGCAGCCGCGGUAAUACGUAGGGUGCAAGCGUUAAUCGGAAUUACUGGGCGUAAAGCGUGCGCAGGCGGUUUGCUAAGACCGAUGUGAAAUCCCCGGGCUCAACCUGGGAACUGCAUUGGUGACUGGCAGGCUAGAGUAUGGCAGAGGGGGGUAGAAUUCCACGUGUAGCAGUGAAAUGCGUAGAGAUGUGGAGGAAUACCGAUGGCGAAGGCAGCCCCCUGGGCCAAUACUGACGCUCAUGCACGAAAGCGUGGGGAGCAAACAGGAUUAGAUACCCUGGUAGUCCACGCCCUAAACGAUGUCAACUAGUUGUUGGGGAUUCAUUUCCUUAGUAACCGUAGCUAACGCGUGAAGUUGACCGCCUGGGGAGUACGGUCGCAAGAUUAAAACUCAAAGGAAUUGAC
rnacentral:rRNA from 1 species